rnacentral:misc_RNA from 1 species
GAUGAAGAACGUAGCGAAAUGCGAUAAGUAAUGUGAAUUGCAGAAUUCAGUGAAUCAUCGAAUCUUUGAACGCACAUUGCGCCCGCCAGUAUUCUGGCGGGCAUGCCUGUUCGAGCGUCAUUUCAGCCAUCAAGCCCCAGGCUUGUGUUGGAGCCCUGCGGCUGCCGCAGCCUCCCAAAACCAGUGGCGGGCUCGCUAUCACACCGAGUGCAGUAGUUUACUCUUCGCUCAGGGCGUGUGGCGGGUGCUAGCCGUAAAACCCCCAACUUCUCAAGGUUGACCUCGGAUCAGGUAGGAAUACCCGCUGAACUUAAGCAUAUCAAUAAGCGGAGGA